rnacentral:sRNA from 1 species
GGGCAAUUCCAAUUUUCAUUGUUAGGAUAUCAGCAGUCCAGUCCAAAACACCAAACAUGAAUCAGUAGCAGGGGCUCGACUCAGGACAAACCACGAGGCUCCACUAAAUGACCAUGAGUCUUCGGAAGUGGCAGAAGAGGAGCUGAAAUACCACAGGAAGUCCUCUGGUCUGUUUCUCUCUACGAAUCCACAACAAGCAAAAGAUCAGUGAAGACCAGCGGAGCAUGGCAAGGUAAACCACUGAAUUAGUGUGCACUCGCCCCCAGUGGGUUAUAUCCACACUCUUUCCAAGCAUCAUGUGUCCUCUCAAGCAUCUGCUCCAGCAAAACCGAUAACCUCUCACAAGAGAGCUUCCAGAAAAGCAUCACGUGACACGACUGAGUCCCCAAAGAAACCAGAAAGUCCCACUUCCGAUGGCCCUUCUGGCCCCAGGGCUGGUCCACGUUGCACGGGAGGUCUCACCUAUACCUCAGUACCCCGAGAGCCCUGCUGGCUCUGCGGGCACACUGACACACCCCCUUGUCACCCGCCUACACUGUAAGGACAAAAACACUUGAAUCCUGGAGCUGCUACUUGGGACUCACAGAUGAGCAGUGCUUGGGUCUUGAGAUCUGACUCCUCAAGAGGGAACAGGGUGUCACAGCCAGUGAGCUGAGUGGGCAAGAGCCACUGGUCCAGAGGGGCCUGGCUACACCCUCGGUCUCCUAAACACAGGGCUCAGAGUUCAACGUUCAAUGGUGACCACAUUGUACGGAACGGGAGAGCUAGCUGAGUCAAGCCAGGCCACACUGCAGAGGAGAAGGCCUUAUGUCACCUCUUUCCUCAAAAAAAAGCAUUACCUGAGGUGACCUGUGACAUUCUGGGUUCAUCUGUGACUUAAGAGUUUUUUUUUAAAAGCCAAGUUUCUUUCCCUGAGUCUCUUUCAAGAGAGUCAUCCAAGCGUCGUUUAUAACUCAAAUGAUUCUGGUGUCAAUUGUGUGUCUUUAAUGAGCCCAGAAAUUUUCAUAAUUAUCCUUUUUUUUCCAAAGACAUAAUUAUAGGUUGGAGUACAUGCUACAGACAAGACAUUUAAAUAGAGCUUUUUACACACUUAAGCAUUCUGCCUCUCCCUUCAAAAAAACAUUUUGAAGAGGGUUCCCAAUUAUCCUUCCCCUGCCUUUCUUCCUCUGAGUAAACACGGGGAGGUAAGAUGGUCAUUGUCCCUUGGCAGUGAGUGUCCUAUGCUGGCUAGAGUACCCAGCCCAAAACUGUCUCCCCUGUGCCUCUACUGAGCACAGAGACUGGCAGGUGGAGGUGGCAGGGGUGACUUAGAGUUCUGUCCUGUAUGGGAAGCCCAGGUUAACCAGAAGCAGUCUUGGUGUCUCUGAUGGGGACAAGGCAAUGAAUGUGUUGAGCUCUGAUUGGUGCUGCCAUCAGAAUCUGUACCCAGUGAUAACCCAGGACCUCAUUAGUUCCAUGGUUUGAGUUUGAACUGGCAGGUUUAAGGGUCUGAGACAGGGGGUUGGGGAUUUAGCUCAGUGGUAGAGCGCUUGCCUAGGAAGCGCAAGGCCCUGGGUUCGGUCCCCAACUCCGAAAAAAAAAAACCAAAAAAAAAAAAAAAAAGGGUCUGAGACAGGACAGAGAGACUGAAGACAUGGGUCUGACUGAGACAAGGGGUUUGGGCUGUAAAGCACAUAAACUGCUCUGACACAUCCUGCUUCUCCAAGCUCUCUCUUGCUGACUGACUAAAACUGUCCCCCACCCCAUUUCUAGAGCUGCUGGGAAUGUGUUUACUUCUAAGCCCAAUAACCAGUGUUCUGGGGAGAAGUUUGAGGAAAGAGCAAAGUCACAUGGGCCAGCUUCAGAGGAGAGGCUCCAGGGACCUCUGUCCUCCAGCUGGAGUCCAACAGGAAACACAGAUGCCUCCGGCACAAGUAGUUGGAAGAAGGUGCCGGCCCAGCUGCCCAAGGUGUGGGGCCAGCCAGAGAGAGGUCCUGUGGGUGGAGAGUGUCCACUCAUGUCCAGCAGAGGCUCCGGGGAAAGGGCAAGGCAGUUCAGGCAAGAAUUUGACAUACCAGCUGCAGGGAGACUGUCCCCAUUACAGACCAGCACCCUGCAAAAACCUUCUGGAAAGCUCAGGAAAGGAAAGGGAUCCUCUGGCUUGCGAGUUUUACCAAAGACCAUUUCACAGUAGCAUACUGAUUGACAACACAUUUUUUGUUGGCUAAAAGCCUUACCCUCGUGUACAUCUUGAGUUCCUGGGAGAGAGAGGGUCUGACAAUAAGCAAAGAAAAGAUAUGAGACGAUACCAGAUUAAGUAGGAGAGAGCGUGAUUCUGUGGGGGAAGGCUUCCGUGUGGAGGAAUUUUUGAGCUGACCCACCCAUGACAUCAGCAUCUCCCCCAACAAGACCCUAAGGGAGAGGGACAGGCUGGUUUACCCACCCAAGGCUAGAGCAAAGAAGGGCUCUGCAGAGCAGGAAGAUGCCAACCAUGACGAUGGCGGUGAAAACAGGCAGGUCUGCGGCUGUCAGCUCAUAGCCCCGGACCCCAUCUUGUGAGAACUUGGAAAUUCACAACAGCGAGGGCCCAGGAGACGCCUGGCGAGCUCGGUUCUGAAUCAUUCUAUUGUCUGAGCGGAAGUCCAGCCCGGCAAAGUAAUGGAAGGACACUCCUCGUCUCAAUUUUGUUCAUAGAUGUCUCCAGCAACCAUUUCACAUCUCUAACCACACAGGCGUCCGAGCUGGUGGGCGGGCCUUAUCCUCACCGAACGUAUGAGAAAGGCCACUCCGGUAGUUUCUGUCUCUGCAGCCUCCCCCGCCCUGCCUGUGUGGGUGGACACAUCUGUGGACGCAGCACUUCAAUAAAAAGCCUUCGCACGGCACACGAGGCCGCCCAGGAGACGCGGCGCGUUUCAUCCAACUGCCAAGAAUCUUCUUUAAAGUCUCCCCUGCCUUGUUGAGGGGCCAGCCACUCGCUCGGGCCGCUGUUGUUAUGGCUGUCUCGCUUCCUGAGACACACUGUCCGGGAACAGACACCCCUGGCAAGCUGCAAAGGUGAGAUGGUGGCCCGAGGUUCACCGGCCCUACUCUCCAAACAGCUUUCAAGUGACUCUCUGUGACCGCUCCGUGUGGAGGUGUUUUUCUAGAACGUUCUGUCCAAAUGACCCUGGAAACUAUCAGGACAAUGGGACCAAGAGGCUUUGGGAAGCUAGGGAGGCCCCAUCACUCCACAUGCCCGGAAUUCCCUCCCCCUGCCAUGAGACACAGGGACAGCAGCGGUUUCCUUCAGGACGUCCCUCGGUAGCUCUUUCUUCCUUUGCUCUCAGGAAGACAACUGUGCUUAGCUUCAGGAUCCAGGCCCUUUACUUGAAAGCAGCUACUGUGAAGACAGUGUUAAUGGGGCUUUUAGAUUAUGUCCUGGCUCAAAGCCUCCCUUUAAUAACCGGCUCCGCUCUUGGCCAGUCUUGGCUGAAUUGAGAAACAUCAGCUGUGCGACGAGAAAUGGAAAGCUCGUUACUUGAUACUCGGUGCAGCCUGCGCCAAAACCUUCACUCAUUCAUUUUAUCGCCGCAGCGUCUUCCCAUACCGAAACCUGUGUCACAGCAGAAGCUGCAAACUUCGAGGGCUGGGGGGUAAGCCUGUAUUUCGAUAAGAAUGCCUGCCCCUAACUCCUGAGUGAGUCACAAAAUGACUUGUAAUUCUUAGCCCCUUCCAAAGGAUUCCAGCCUCUCUUUUCGGGGCUCCCAGCUCCAACCCCUCCCUCUAAAGCAAGCACACAGAGUGAGGUGUAGACAUCUGGUUCCUGUUUUUAGAGUCAAAAUUGAUCUGCUGGGUGACUCUUGGCAAGUCACUUAACCUCUCUGAGCUUAAGCUUCCCUAAUCCUGGCUCACCAGACACCUCUUAGGAGGAGGGGCUGGUGGCCAGCUAAUGAGCAGGUGUUUGGGGGAGGGAUGGCCGAAUCCCAGGGGGAGAGGGGACCAAAACGGAGGGAAGCUGGAGGGGUCUUAAGGCAUAAGCCAGCAGUAGCUAAGCCUGCAGAUUGAAGUGGAGAUGGCCAUGUGUCCAGCCCGCCUCACUUUCCGCUGAUGCAGUCCUGAGCGUUUGGGGCCUUGGCAGUGCACUGGCCUCCAGGUGGCCUUCCUCAUGUUGGCUUCACCCUAUGAGGAGUUUCUCAGACCCGUGAGAGCCUCAUCCCUCUGAGGAUCCCCGUCCUUAUACAUGGCCUUUCCUGUAUUAGCCCCGGAGUUUUCCACCACCCCCUCGUUUUGACGGAAACUUGCUGGUGCGAACACACAACUCUUGAGAUGCCUCUCCAUCCCAGACGAGCCCAGACAGGCAUCCAAGCAGCAAAUGAGUGAGUCUUUCCCAGUUCCCAGCAUUUUUGACUCCUCUCCUCUCUGUUACCAUGCUCCAGGAGGACUUGAACUCCCAAGAACAGAAUCUUUGCUAUUUGACAGAAGCCAGGCCAGAGGGGAUUGGGAUGGGUUGAGGGGGCUGGAAAAAUGAAUAAAACCUUUAAUGACCUUGCUGACUGCUCUUGUUCCACUGUAGGACACAAUCCCAGACAGAGCUGGCAGCCUUCAGAGAACAUCUCUCCUUUCUUAUCAGCAGAGAAAUGAAGAGUCUUCAUGGUGGAGGACAUGGAGCUCACUUGCAUGGACAUUCAGUGUCCAGCCAGGCUGUGAAUAAGAAAGGGUUCCUCCCUAUCUGGGAAACUCGCAGGGAUGUUUCCAGAAUCUAAGAUGAUGGAAAAGCCUUUGCAAGAAACCCACAUUCCUAUAACAGAGGCAUCGAAGGCACGGGUAGAGGGUCCUCUGGCUAUGAGUCCUGAGAGACAGCAAGCCUCACCCUCUCCCGAGCUAGUUUCUGGGAAGAUACUGAAAAUCCGACCUUGCCUUGCCGCCGCCGACCACCCAGCCCGUCAGCACAUACUUGGCACGUAUGUGUUCUUCCCGAGCUUCUUCCAAACCAGAGUUGCUGCCCUCACAACCUGCCAAGCCCUUGCUUCCAGAAAUUUCUUCCUUACCCCUUUUGUGGCUAUGAAACUGAAAUGUUCCAAGUGGGGAAGGAUCUCAAAACUGCUCAGUCAUCAAGCAUACCAGCUGGCCAAAGGCGAGGCUGGGUGUGGAAGUACUUCCCAGAUCCUCAGACCUGGGGAGAAGGGGACAGUGAACGCCAAUUCCAGUCCUGACCACACGCAAAAAGCCUUUACAAAGCUUAAAUCUUCAGUUACUAGAUUUUGUCUUGUUCACAGACCUUUUGGCCCCGCCCUCUUUGCACUCCAGUCCUUGGCCAGAGCUGAACCCCCACACAGAGCUUUCUCCAUUCUUACUCAGUCAAUAGUCAUGUGUGUUAUCAAGAGGCCUGUCUAGGCCCAUGGAGACCUGACAUCGGUGCUGGGACUUCAAACUGUGUUGGCAAUAUAGGGAUUCCUUGGGCCAACCUUCGAGGACUUUCUCAAAACGAUAUCAGCUCUUGGGAGCAGUCAUAACCAUCCAGUGACCAGACUCUCUAGGCCUUCUUCCAGUCAGCCAUUGAAGCUUACACUCAACUCCCGACCUGAAACUGCAUUGAUCGCCUGGGAAGGAGUGUGAGGUGAGAAUUGGAGGGACAAAGUCACCUUUGUGGGUGUGUAGGGGAUGGAGUCAGGGUGUUGGGAUGACUCAUUUGUAUGAGGAAGAAUUCUAGGUGUUGCUAGAUGUGACCUUACCAGGGAUAGGAAAUUUAACCAGGUUACUGGCUUCCUGAUUUCCCCUGCUGGGGCAAAGGUGGAUGUGUAGGAUUAUGUGCACCAGGAUAUGCAGGCCCCAGGCAGGGGAGGGAGUGGCCCCACUCUUAUCUCUCCCAAGAUGAGAUUUCUGGAGUUGGACAUGACUCUACCGCACUCACACGGCGACUGACUCCUUCCAGUUCCACAGUUCCCUGGGCCCACAAGCCGUAAAGCGUGUAACUAGUUAUCACAACUAACCAUAUUAGCAACGUUGACAUGUUGCACCUCACUGUGAGAUUGUGGGUAGAAUUACAUGUUUCAUAUGAAAGACUGUGUCAGGGCAAACUUUGUUUAAACACCCUCCAUGCCCUCCAUCGUCCCAUGCUUCAGACUGAGUAACUUGUUUAUCUUAGAAAGAGACAGUCACCAGACCAUUUCGAGGACCACAAAAUAUUUUUUAAUUGUGGUAAAUUUUAAUUGGGACCUACAUUUUUGUCUCUCCAUAGUUGAUAGGUGAAAACUGAAGGUUACUGGAGUAUUUGUUCAUACACAGAUAUGUACACAAACAUAGUCAUCAUACAUGUACAUACUAUAGAAACACACAUGUGAUUCCUCUGUCAUAUCCUGGACCAAGGUGAAAAGAACCAAGAAAUGGCCUUGACAAUGAGUAAGGCCAGAAAUGAUGGAUGAAGAGAAUCAGACCUCUGUAGCUGAGAGCUGAAAUGAUGGAUGAAAAGAAUCAGACCUCUGUAGCUGAGAGCUGAAAUGAUGGAUGAAAAGAAUCAGACCUCUGUAGCUGAGAGCUGAAAUGAUGGAUGAACAGAAUCAGACCUCUGUAGCUGAGAGCUGAUUAUCAUGUGCCUGAAGCAGCUCUCUAAGGCCAGAAAGAACCUGCUGCCAGUGAGGAAUGCACAUCUGUGAUGGAUCACCCAGAGCUAACAGGAGCUCAUCCUGCCACGAUCCAGAGUCAAGAAGCCUUUUGUAGGCUAUCGGGCAACAUACUCAAGGUGGGCAUCAGCCUUCCACUAGAGGCUGUUCUGGCCUCAAGUAACCAGUCUUUUUUUUUUUUUUCCUUUUCUUUUUUUCAGAGCUGGGGACCGAACCCAGGGCCUUGCACUUGCUAGGCAAGCGCUCUACCACUGAGCCAAAUCUCCAACCCCUCAAGUAACCAGUCUUAAAAAGAAGUCACUAAAGGAUUGAAAUGGCCCUAAGUAAGAUAUGUGGGUUCCAGAAUAAAGCUCAAGGGUUGAGGGGUACAGGCCCCACCCUACCCCACCAUCUGGCAUCCUAUAACUGUCUGCACACCAUCAAGGCCGAAAAGUCAGUCAACACCAACAGACCUAGACAGGAGGCAGAACUAGCAGACAAAGAAACAAAGGCUCAUCUGACACUUUUACCUCAGUUCUGGGAGAUGCAGGGAGGUGCAGGCUGUUAAGAGGAGACGUGCAAGAUGUCCACAUGACCUACACUGAACUUCUACAUAUAAAAAUACAAAGUCUUGGACUGGAGAGAUGGUUCAGUGGUUAAGAGCGCUGAC